AACAGAUCUAGGCUACACCUUCACUAUUCAAGUCAGACUUUAAAAGGAAGCCCUUUUUGUUGAUAGGUGAACAUAUGAAGAAACUUUCAAAAGAGUGGAGCAUUUAGAAGACGGAACAAUCAAAUAUUAUUUGUUACUAUUUCAGUAACUUUUCAAAUGUUAACUGUUUAGAAUAUUCUUAAAUACAAAUAUAAUUGAAUUUAAUGUGUAAA